CUUAAACAAAAUUUUGGUAUAAAACUUGAUGAAGUGUCAUUUUUUUGCACUUAUUUAAGUCACAUCAUGUCUUAUGAUCUCGUGGUGCAACAAUUGUACAUGAAAUCUACGAUCAUAAAUGGUGUGUGUGACUUAAAAAAAUGAUAUUUCAUCAAGUUUUGGACCAAAAUUCUAUUUGGGUCGGGCGACCAAACUGGGGAGAAAUAAAAUAAGCAACUAUUUUCGUAAUUCAGCUAAAGUAGGGGACCAAAAUUGCACACUAGA
rnacentral:lncRNA from 1 species